UACAGAGGUCCCAAGCGUUGUUCGGAUUCACUGGGCGUAAAGGGUGCGUAGGCGGUCGGGUAAGUCUGAUGUGAAAUCUCACAGCUUAACUGUGAAACUGCAUUGGAUACUAUCCGGCUCGAGGAAUGGAGGGGAGACUGGAAUACUUGGUGUAGCAGUGAAAUGCGUAGAUAUCAAGUGGAACACCAGUGGCGAAGGCGAGUCUCUGGACAUUAACUGACGCUGAGGAGCGAAAGCGUGGGGAGCGAACAGG
rnacentral:rRNA from 1 species